GCUUAGAAGCAGCCAUCCUUUAAAGAAAGCGUAAUAGCUCACUGGUCUAGUGAUUAUGCGCGGAAAAUAUAACGGGGCUAAAAUAAGUACCGAAGUCGUAGAUUUGAAUUUUAUUCAAGUGGUAGGAGAGCGUCCUAUUCAGCGUUGAAGGUGUACCGGUAAGGAGCGCUGGAGCGGAUAGGAGUGAGCAUGCAGGCAUGAGUAGCGUUAAAAUACGUGAGAAUCGUAUUCGCCGAAAACCCAAGGUUUCCUACGCGAUGCUCGUCAUCGUAGGGUUAGUCGGGUCCUAAGCAAAGUCCGAAAGGGGUAUGCGAUGGAAAAUCGGUUAAUAUUCCGAUACCAAUAUUAGUGUGCGAUGAAAGGACGCUUAAAGUUAGUGGAGCUAGCUGAUGGAAGUGCUAGUCUAAGUGUGUAGGUUGAGUUAUAGGCAAAUCCGUAACUCUUUAUCCGAGACAUUAAAGGUCUUUGACGCUCUUCGGAGUAGAUGAGAAAUCCAUGAUACUAUCGAGCCAAGAAAAGUUUCUAAGUUUAGCUGAUAUUGCCCGUACCGUAAACCGACACAGGUGGGUGGGAUGAGUAUUCUAAGGCGCGUGGAAGAACUCUCUUCAAGGAACUCUGCAAAAUAGCACCGUAUCUUCGGUAUAAGGUGUGCCUAACUUUGUGAAGGAUUUACUCCGUAAGCAUUGAAGGUUACAACAAAGAGUCCCUCCCGACUGUUUACCAAAAACACAGCACUCUGCUAACUCGUAAGAGGAUGUAUAGGGUGUGACGCCUGCCCGGUGCUCGAAGGUUAAUUGAUGACGUUAGCUCUGCGAAGCGUUUGAUCGAAGCCCGAGUAAACGGCGGCCGUAACUAUAACGGUCCUAAGGUAGCGAAAUUCCUUGUCGAUUAAAUAUCGACCUGCAUGAAUGGCGUAACGAGAUGGGAGCUGUCUCGAAGAGGGAUCCAGUGAAAUUGUAGUGGAGGUGAAAAUUCCUCCUACCCGCGGCAAGACGGAAAGACCCCGUGGACCUUUACUACAGCUUGACACUGCUAUUGGGAUAAAAAUGUGCAGGAUAGGCGGGAGGCUUUGAUCCAUAGACGCCAGUUUAUGGUGAGCCAUUGUUGAGAUACCGCUCUUUUUUAUUCUGAUAGCUAACUAGCUUGAGUUAUCCUCAAGUAGGACAAUGUCUGGUGGGUAGUUUGACUGGGGCGGUCGCCUCCCAAAAUGUAACGGAGGCUUACAAAGGUUGGUUCAAGAUGGUUGGAAAUCAUCUGCAGAGUAUAAAGGCAUAAACCAGCUUAACUGCAAGACAUACAAGUCGAGCAGAGACGAAAGUCGGUCUUAGUGAUCCGGUGGUUCUGUGUGGAAGGGCCAUCGCUCAAAGGAUAAAAGGUACCCCGGGGAUAACAGGCUGAUCUCCCCCAAGAGCUCACAUCGACGGGGAGGUUUGGCACCUCGAUGUCGGCUCAUCGCAUCCUGGGGCUGGAGCAGGUCCCAAGGGUAUGGCUGUUCGCCAUUUAAAGCGGUACGCGAGCUGGGUUCAGAACGUCGUGAGACAGUUCGGUCCCUAUCUGCCGUGGGCGCAAGAAGAUUGAGGAGAGUUGACCCUAGUACGAGAGGACCGGGUCGAACCAACCACUGGUGUACGAGUUGUCCUGCCAAGGGCACCGCUCGGUAGCUAUGUUGGGAUGUGAUAACUGCUGAAAGCAUCUAAGCAGGAAGCCAACUCCAAGAUGAAUCUUCUUUUAAGAGCUCAUAUAGACUAUGUGUUUGAUAGGCUGGGUGUGUAAUGGAUGAAAGUCCUUUAGCUGACCAGUACUAAUAGCUCGUCUGCUUAUCUUUU
rnacentral:rRNA from 1 species